rnacentral:rRNA from 1 species
CCUACGGGAGGCAGCAGUGAGGAAUAUUGGUCAAUGGGCGCGAGCCUGAACCAGCCAAGUCGCGUGAAGGAUGACUGCCCUACGGGUUGUACACUUCUUUUACAAAGGAGUAAAGUGACGCACGUCUGCCUUUUUGUAUGUACUUUACGAAUAAGGAUCGGCCAACUCCGGGCCAGCAGCCGCGGUAAUACGGAGGAUCCGAGCGUUAUCCGGAUUUAUUGGGUUUAAAGGGAGCGUAGAUGGGUUGGUAAGUCAGUUGUGAAAGUUUGCGGCUCAACCGUAAAAUUGCAAUUGAUACUGGCAGUCUUGAGUGCAGUAGAGGUAGGCGGAAUUCGUGGUGUAGCGGUGAAAUGCUUAGAUAUCACGAAGAACUCCGAUUGCGAAGGCAGCUUACUAGACUGCAACUGACGUUGAUGCUCGAAAGUGUGGGUAUCAAACAGGAUUAGAUACCCGUGUAGUC